UACGUAGGGUGCAAGCGUUAAUCGGAAUUACUGGGCGUAAAGCGUGCGCAGGCGGCUAUGCAAGACAGAUGUGAAAUCCCCGGGCUCAACCUGGGAACUGCAUUUGUGACUGCUCGGCUAGAGUGUGUCAGAGGGGGGGUAGAAUUCCACGUGUAGCAGUGAAAUGCGUAGAUAUGUGGAGGAAUACCGAUGGCGAAGGCAGCCCCCUGGGAUAACACUGACGCUCAUGCA
rnacentral:rRNA from 1 species